rnacentral:misc_RNA from 1 species
AAACCCUCAAGCCCAGCUUGGUAUUGGGUGCUUGUCCUGCCUCCGGGCGGCGACUCACCUUAAAUUCAGUGGCAGCCCGCAUCCGCCGGCCGUGAGCGCAGCACAAACGCACUCAAGUGCAGGUGGAUCGGCUCUCCAGAAGCUCAUUUUUCAGUUUAACCUCGGAUCAGGUAGGAUACCCGC